AAAGAGCAUGAGAGAUCUCAAAGAAACUUUCAGAAGGUUAGCAGGCAAAUGUGACGUGUGUCAGGAACGCGGAAGCUGAGGGAGGAGGAUUCCCAGAAGAAGUCAGAUGCAGACAGAGGUCAGGAGAGUAAGUCUGGAGCAAAGGUUACAGACAUUAUUUUUAGUUAGAGAUUAUUGUCAUCCCUGACCUUGAGGAAGAGAGUAAUUCUAGUGGGGCAUGACUGCAGAAUCCAGAGGACAAAUAUUUAGGGAAUUGAGUGGGUGUACAGGAAAUAGUGGCUGACUAUUUUAGAUUCCUGUUUUGAGAAGAUGAGUGGUGAAAGGUGAGAAUGGGAGUGGCAAGACUGUGGGGAGGUACUGUGGAGGAGACAGCAUAUUUAUAAUAAAUGAGAUAAUGCAUAUUCAGUGCUCAGCCUAGAGGAAACACUCACCCAAGUGCUGCCUGUUGUUGUUGUAAGAGAAGAGAGCUUGGUAACUAAGGGAAUGGGGUCUGAGUGGAGGCAGAGGAGGAUGAGUUCAGGGGCUCAGGUUGCAGGGAAGAGGGCAUCCAGAAUAUAUGAUGGAGAGAAAGAGUCGGCAGCAGAGGCAGAGCAGAGGAAGACAGCCUCUUCUGCCAAGAGAAGACGGACAAUGCACCAAAAUAGAAGCAUAAAUAAUUGCUGCUUGCUAUUUUAUUCAUCUUUUUAUGUUUCUUUCGCAUCUCCCUCAUUCUAAGGUCCCUGGUAGCAGGAACCAGGCUUCACCCUUCAUUGCGUUUAAAGAGACCACGUAGAAAAGUGAUUAUGGCCAGCGACUCUGAAGCCAAACUGCCUGGGUUCAAAUCUCAGCUUUGCCAUUGACUUACUAGCUCUGUAACCUUGGACAAUCUACUUAGUUUCUCUGUGCUCCAGUUUCCCCAUGUGUAAAAUGUUUAAAACAAACACAGCAGCCAUACUUUCCUGGGAAACCUAGAUAUAAAACAGCAGAGGUAAGCAGCACUAGCUACCAUCAACGUGAAAGCCAUUUUCUCAUUCUUACAUACGAAUGAAUGACCAUGGACCAGAAGGCAUUGGAAGGAACCCCAUGAAUGCAUGAAAGACAAACAGCUGAACAUUAUGGGCAAUUCAGAGAACAUAAGAUUUAUUUUUUAAGAAACGAAAGUUCAAAUGAUUAUCCCCAGAUCAAUGAGAAGAAGUUGCAUCCAUAAACAAACACUUAGUUAUGAAACAGGAAUAGAGGACAAAAGAGGUCUUGAAAAUUAAAAAUAUUAUUGCAGAAAUGAAAGAUCGCUAGGAAGUAUUCAGAAAAAAACUGAGCUGAGUCUCUUGCAAAGCAAUUGGCAAAUGCUAAAGUUCAGUGCUUCACCUUGACCACAAAGAAGAAAACUUUCCAAGUUUUUGAGUAACACCUGCUUGUACCUCUGCAAGAAAGUUCCAAAAUGGAAGAUGCCCGGAAACCACUGUGGCAAAAUGCUUUCUUGAACCUGUUCAAGACAGCCAAGGAAAGUCUCAACUGCAAAGGGAAACAAUUUGAGUCAGAGUAACUUGGGUUUGUUGUUGUUAUCUGUAUAAAAGGGAAAAUUGCCAUUUGAAUAACUGAAUAGCAGUAAUGUACCAAGCGGACUAUUUAAGUUCAGGGCGGUGGCUCUGCACAUCAGGAAUGAUGCCACAGGUGCUGGCCACAGGUCUGCUGGUGGCUGCGGAGAGCUACAGCUAUGCAGCACACUCCUGCCGUCUUUCCUGAUUCAUGAACAUCAGUAUUUCUCUAGGCAUAGACUUGAAUUAAAUUUAGUGUCAUUUCUUAGUAGUGUUUGAUGAUUAAAAUCUUGUUCUUUGACAACAAAUGAUCAAUCUUCCAGGUCUAACAUUGGAUUCACAGGUUUUCCAGACAAAUAAAAUGAAAAAAAAUGGAGGAAAGAAUAUCAAAGACACAAUAAAAUUUCUUAGAGCUGAAGUGAUGUGAGUCAUCAGAUUCAAAUGGCCCACAGAAGGCUGAGGAGGAUGAAUAAGAAAAACCCACUCCUGGACAUGACUUCAUCACAUUUCAGACCCCAAAUAUGAAAAGAAGGCCCCCAAAACAUCCAGAGAAAAAGAAGAGGCUGCCUAUAAAGGAAUGGACAUUAGAUGACCUCAGGCUUUGGAAUUUUUUACAAUCAAGUAGUCACAAAGUCUCCAGUGUUCUGAGGAGAAAUGAUUUUGAACCUGGGAUCCUAUAGUCAGCUAAACUGUCAAGUGAGUAUGAAGGCAAAAUAAGGUAUUUUCGGGCAUUCAAGGAUCAAAGUUUCCACUUCCAUAUAUUUACAUACACACAUUAUAUACAUCAUUUCUAAGGAAGUUACUUGAGCAGACUGAGAAUGAAAAGGUGUGACUGAACAUAGAAAUAUUUUUUAAAAUUCCUGGAUAACAACUGUUCAUUCAGGAGGUGACUGAUCUGAAUUAAAAUAAGAAGCUGAUAGGCUCUGAUCAGUAUCUUCAAAGAGAAAAAGAGAAUGAAUUAUAAAAUUAGAUAGGAGUGAAGAAAUAAGGAAUUAGAAACCACAGGGGGGAAAUCAAAAGCUGUACAAAAGAGUCAGUUAAGAAGUAAACUAAAAUGAGGCAUAGUUGUGAGUAACUGAUAAAUUGGUAAAGAAAGAAUAUACUUGAUAUGGACCUUAGGGACAUUCUUUGAGUGACUAGGAACCAGAGCACUGAACAAACAGGAUAAAAUGUAAUCCCAGAACCUAUUUGGCUCUGCAGUGUAUAAUAUUUAUGUAAGAAGAAGACUUAACAGUGGUUAUCAAUAAUGAUUAUGUAAAAAUGGAAUAGCUCACAGAGGUUAGAGGGAGAAGGCUAGUGGACUAGUCGGGGAUAACCUAGUUAUAGGCACCAAAAUCCUUACACAUCAAGAGAUAAUGUAAAGUUGAUGGAACAAAAAAUACAGGCUUAAGUGUAUUAUUUAAGGCUAUAAAUAAACCUCAUAAGAUAAAAUAAAACAAUUGGGUUGUCAGGGGCUGAGGCUGGGGGACAGGAUUGUCUGCAAAGAAGCAUAGGGAACUUUAUGGGGUGAUCUCAGAUACACAUUUCCACAUCUUGAUUUUGGUGGUUAUAUGACUAUUUAGGUUUGUCAAAAUUCACAGAACCAUGCUCCAAACAAUGAUGAAUUUCACUGCAUGUAAAUCCUAACUCAGUAAACUUAGGAAGGGGAAAAACCUAGGAACCGAAAAGUGAACUAAACCCUCAUCUUUCAUACUGGGGCGUCAAAAGAAAAUGUACGAAGUUAAUAAAUCCACCAAAAGCAACAUAAGCAUAGAGCUGGCAAGGGAAACCACCAUCACAAGAAACAGCCAAAAGAAGUUUUUGGAAGUAGCAGUGGUGACACAGACUAACAUUUAGCUUCAUAAUUUUACUAUCUACAUGUUUUACUUAUUUAUUGGCAUUGGCAUUUAAACACAAUUCUGAAACAUUUUUAAAAUGCAGAAAGGUUUCCAGAGUAAUACAAGAACUUCUAUUAAAUAUCUAUCCCAUGCCCAAUAAUGUCCUUUAUAGCAAAGGGCCCAAUCCAGGAUCACAUUCUGCACCCAAUUACCAUGUCUCUCUAGUCUCCUUCAACCUGGAACAGUUCUUCGGGAUUUCUUGACUUUCAUGAUCUUGAUUUUUUUUUUUUUUUUUUUUGAGACAGGGUCUCACUCUGUCACCCAGGACCAUCUUGAAUUCCUGGACUCAAGAAAUCCUCUCACGUCAGCCUCCCAAAGUGCUGGGAUUAUAGCCGGAAGUCACCGUGCCCGGCCGUCAUGACCUUGAUAUUUUUAAAGAUUACAGGCUGGUCAUUUUAUUUUGUUCUUCAAUUUGGGAUUGCCUGAUGUUUCCUCCUGAUUAGAUCCAAUUUAGGUAUCUUGGCCCUGAUAUCAUAGAAGGGAUGCUGUGUUCUCACUGCAUCCUGGCAUGUGAUCUGAGAGGUUGAUUUGCUGUAUUAUUACUGGGAUAAACCAAGAUAGCAUCUCCCAGGCUUCUUCACUGCAAAGUUAGUUUUCUCCCCUUCAUAAAAAGUAUUUUGAGGAAAGAUGUUUUGAGACUAUUCCAUGUCCUACUUUCACCCAUUUUCUUAAGAUCCACUGACGCUUUUACCUGAAUUGGUUAUUGCAAUGAUGAUUGCCAAGUAGUACAUUAAAUGGAUUCACAGAUUCCUAUUUAUUCAAUGGAUUAUAAUAAUCUAUUAGUAUCAUUAUUUUGAUUCUUGACUCAUUCCAAAUGUGGUCAGUGGGAGUUUCUUUGCUGUCUUCUGUGUCAUUUCGACAUGUGCCUAUCAUUCUUUGAGCAUUUCCUUACCGUCUAGCAAAGGAGAUAAUCCAGGCUCAUCUUAUUCUUUCCCUACCUUGGUCCUGAAGUUAAGCAGUUCCUUUCACUAAAGAGUGGCAUUUAGAAACCAAGCUUUGGGUGAUUGGUGUGCUCACUGCUAUAGAGUCUCAAAGCUUCCAGGACUUCUCAAUGGACCUAGCUAGGAAAUACACACAUGCAUGUACACAUGCAUAUACACACAUUUACAUGUAUAUUUAUUUUUAUAUCUAUCUAUACAUGUCAGUGUGAACUCAACAACUCUGAGUUCACAUUGACAACUCUAAUUCCAUUCCAAUUUCAAAGGGUUUGGCUUCACCCUAUUUUCCAUGUUUGUAUCUCCUUCCUCCAAGAGUGAGAAAUACUGGUUCCCAUCAUCCUCAAUGUAUUUACUUUUCUGCUUAAUUCCCUGUAUGUAUCAAAUCUCCUGAUGUCAUCAUCAGGUUGCCAUCCCACCUGUGCACCCUCCUGGUUGCUCUGGCCUCUGCCAAGCUGCCUUCCCAUCCCACUUGGAAUUAUUUUGGUAAAACUUAAAAAGAAAAAAAAUUAGUAACCAAAUACUAUAAAAGGAACAAAAAAGGAGAUUGUGGGAAUUGGUCAUAAGCAAUAUUUUUACUGCUCUAAGAGCCAUGGUCCCUGAUAUGGUUAGGUUUUGUGUCCCCACUCAAAUCUCAUCUUGAAUUAUAAUUCCCAUAAUUCCCACGUGUCAAGGGAAAGACUAUGUGGAGGUAACUGAAUCAUGGGGGCAGUUUCCCCCUUGUUGUUUUUGUGAUAGUGAGUGAGUUCUCACGAGAUCUGAUGGUUUUAUAAGGGGCUCUUUCCUCCUUUACUCGGCACUUCUCCCUCCUGCUGCCUUGUGAAGAAGGUGCCUUGCUUCCUCUUUGCCUUUCACCAUGAUUGUAAGUUUCCUGAGGUCUCCCCAGUCGUGCUGAUCUGUGAGUCAAUUAAACCUCUUUCCUUUAUCAAUUACCCAAUCUCGGGCAGUUAUUAUUAGCAGUAUGAAAAUGGACUAAUACAGUUUCCAUUUCCUCCACAUGCCACCAUAAUUGUAAAGCACUUUAAAGUUUGAUCUGUUAUAGGAAGAAGUGAGAGGGGCAUAGCUUGGCUCCAUAAUUCCCCUAAUCAAUAUAAUCAAUAUCAUGUACCGCCCAUGGCAUGAUCCCACAUGCACAUGUGCACACACACACACACUCAGGCACCACACUUCAUGCUCUGGGUGCCUGGUAACCUGAGUUUACCACUUGGAGGAGGUCACUACCUAAAAUGUCGCAGUAAAUGGUCUGUUGAUAGAGCUUGGCUUCUAGUGGGUUAAAGUACACGGUGAUUUCAGCUGAUGAGUUGGGCCAGACAUCACCUUCCUGAAAAACAUGAAAGAAUCAUUAAAAAACAAUAUGACAAAAGAAAGACACUGCUUGUAAGUGUUAUUACAUUAAAACUCCAAUAAAUUUUUUUUUCAUAAAAUUGUAUAUGUUUAAGGUAUACAACAUGUUUUGAUAUAUAUUUGUAUAGUGAAAUGAUUACUGCAGUCAAGGAAAUCAACACAUCUAUCUCCUCACAUAGUUAACUUGUGUGUGCGUGGUGAGAGGACCUGGUCUGUCUACUCUCUUAGCAAGUACCCAACAUAUCAUACAUUAUUAUUAACUAUAGUCACCAUGCACUACAUUAGGUCUCCAGAACUUAUAACUACAAGUUUGUACCCUUUGACCAACAUCUCCCCAUUUCCGCCCCCAAUCCCACCCUCUGAUGCCUGGUAACCACCAAUCUCUUACCAAACUGUUUCUAUGAGUUAGACCUUUUUUUUUUUUUUUUUUUUUUAAGAUUUCACACACAUAUGAGUGAGAUCAUGUGGUAUUUGUCUUUCUGUGUCUGGCUUAUUUCACUUAGCACAAUGUCUCCAGAUUCAUCCAUGUUGUCACAAGUGGCAGGAACUCUUUCUUAGUAAGAGUGAAUAAUAUUCCAUUGUAUGUACACACUUCUUUUUUCAUUCUUCUGUCGCUGGACACUUCGGUUGCUUCCACAGCUUGGCCAUUGUGAAUAAUGCUGCAAUGAACAUGGGGGUGCAGAGCUCUCUUCGAGAUCCUGAUUUCAUUUCCUUUGGGGAUAUACCCAGAUGAGGGAUUGUGGGAUCACAUGACAGUUCUAUUUAUGAUUUUUUGAGGAAUCUCUAUACUGUUUUCCAUAAUGUCCGUACCAAUCUACAGUCCCACCAACAGUGUACAAGGGUUCAAUUCCAGGAAACUUAAAGACAACAUUUUUCUAAUAAGUACAAGAAAGCAUUCUUUCACCAGCAGAUAGUAAAUGUAUACUUCUUGAUAACUUAUGAGGUGGUACAAGUUGGAAACAAACUUCAAAGAUAACUUCAGUGAAUUUAUGAACAUAUAAUGAGUUACUAAAGGAAACUAGGGUGUAUAAGACAUUUUAAAAUGAAAUGUAUAUUCAGUGGCUAUUCACUGUUUGCCCAAUGUGUUCCCAGUACCGGGGCUUCAGAGAAGCAGAAAGUGAAUAGUCACUCAAUGUACAUUUUAAAAUGUCGUAUACAUCCUAGUUUCCUUUAGAUCUCACAUCCCCAGAUCAGCCUGUGAGAAUGAAGGCUCCAUAAGGGUAGCUGCCGUUCUACCCCCACCCAAACCAGAGUAAGCCAUCCCUGGUUUGGGUAGGGGCAGAACAGCAACUACCCUCAGGGAAGCUUCAAUCUUCAUGGCUCUUAGUAGGUGCUCAAUAAAUAUUUGUUGAAUCUGCAAUAUCUACUCAGUUUGCACACUGUGUAGUCAGUAGCAGACACCUAUUCAUCUCUGCAACCUACUUCUACCAUUUUCUCUUCAUCCAGAACCUCAAAAGUCACACAACUGUAGAGCCAAAAGAGACCUAUGAGAGCAUAUGAGGAACAGAGAAGUCCUAAGCACUUUGAUGUAUUUAGGCAUUUCACUGUGGCACCUUUCCAAUCUUGAAAUAAGUAUCUGUUUUCUUCUGAUAAAUGAUAAAUAUCUGGCCCCUUUUGAUUGGUGGGGGUUUUAGUGAUAUGCAGUGUUAGAAACACUCAUGGCUAGACUCAACUGGCAAGGCCAGGCAGAUGAGGCAGCUUAGCCAAUCAGUGGUGUAUCAGUAGUUAUCUCAUCUCAGGACUACUGAAAUCCUGGGCUUCUUACUCACCCAUGACACAAACAUAUUCCUUUGGUGGGUUAAUACUCUGCUGUGUUUGGGUAAACAGAAUGGACACCGCUAACCUGCUCCUACACAAAUGGAAUGACCAAAGGGCCAGGGGCUAUCUUAGAUCCUGAGAGAACCCAGGCUAGAGAAGUCUCACCAGAACUGUAGGAAGUGGCCCCCACUGGAAAUCACAUAAGCUCAGUGCAUGUGGGCAAGUCAGGGUCUUAUGGUUUGAAGUGGACCAGGAAUGCUUUCAAAAGUAUGAUCCCAGCAAUCCAGGGUCCAUGUGCAGAAGAGGGUAACACACUUCAGUUUCUCUUAGAACACUCUUGGACUGCCAUCAUCAAAGAGGUCUGAUUAGCACAACUGGAGGGAUGGGAGUGAGUGGUGGUAGACACACUCCAGAGAGGUGACUGGAAUCUCUCCAGAGGAGGAAGCGUUGACAUUCGGAAGCCAUCAGUGAGAGAUCAUCUGAUGUGGAGGCUCCUGGGAGAUGGAGAAGCCUUUCUGCUUGGUGAGAAGACCAGCACAAAGAAAUCCGAAUCGACAGGGUUCAGACUGAGCAAAUGGAGCUGUGGGCUCAGUGCUUACUUAUUGUGGGCUGCAGCUGUCUUACUCUGCCUGUGACAUCCACUUGUAACUUGCAGCCUUCACUGAGCCCGAGAGAUAAAGGAAGGACAAACCCUAUUUAUUCUAAACUCCUCUCCUGGGCUUGGAGCAGGUACCGUGUAUUAAGACGGUUGUGUGUACCUGAAAACAGCGUGCUCAUUCGGUUUCCUCUCACAGAAGGAUGCUUUCAAUGUGAUUUCAUUUGAAGGAGUUAGGAACAUGCAGGAUAUUUCUACUUUUCAGUUGGGAUUUAAGUAAAAGAGAAAGAACUUCUAUUUCCUUAUAGCAAAAACUCAAUAUAGCAUUUUCUAUCAAAUGGGAGAGCAAACCUCAGAAAUAGGUAACAAGCCUCAACUUUAGACCCCACUUCCAGUUUCACGUCUUUGAAAGAUUUCAUAUGACUUCUUUAACACUUCUGAAAUUAAAUUCCAUGUCAUUUAUGUCUCUGCAAAAAAAAACUUUCUUUCUUUAUUACUCAGUUCUAACAUUUCUGAAAAUCAAAACAUCCAGAAAUUUCCUUCCUGGCUCUGACAUCAAUAUCCCUUCUUCCCAGUUCUACAAAACCUGCCUCAUCACACGGAUCCGCGUCCCCCAUUCUGCGAGCCUUCUACAUGUGACCCCUCUCCCAUGACUGCCCAUUUUCCUGCUCCAAAUGAGAGGUUGAGUACAUAGGAUUGAAUCUGUAAGUGACUAUGACCUUCUUUGUUGAAAAGAAUUGUCAAAAUGGCCUUCAGUUAUACUGUAAUUAUCUUCCUUCUUGGUCUUAAUGUUUUCUUUCAG
rnacentral:lncRNA from 1 species